UUCAGGGGUAAACCUGAGAAGCCCGAAAGGUCGAAAGGGGAAAUUCAUUCGCGUUUCGGCCGUGUCGGAGUGGGAUGGUCGAGUGACGGAUGGCGUACGCGUCGUCCGCCCCUUCCGUUUUUCGAACCGACGUCGAACGCGUGCACUUUUCCCCUAGUAGGACGUCGCGAUCCGUUGGGUGUCGGUCUUACGGCUCGCGGUGGUGCCCGUGCGGUCGCUUCGCGGCGUAUCGCACGGACCCGCGGUGUCCCGGCCGACUCGCUCGACGGUAUACAGAUGGCGCGGGGCCGCUAAAAAUUUCAAUUAGCGUUCGGCCCGUAGCAAGCGCGUUCGGCGAGAUGGCGAUCGGACCUGGUGCCGGUCCCGUCCACGAACGACUGGUGGCUGCGGUGUAUUUUAUCUCGAACAGACCUCGUUCGAAACGCCGAUCUGCGACGCUAUAGCUUUGGGUACUUUCAGGACCCACGGACCAAGGAGUCUAGCAUGUGCGCGAGUCAUUGGGACAUAACUAAACCUAAAGGCGUAAUGAAAGUGAAGGUCCGCCUAGCGCGGAUCGAGGGAGGAUGGGCGGCGUCCGCCUUCAAAGGCGACCGCUCCGCACUCCCGGGGCGUCUCGUUCUCAUCGCGAGAAGAGGCGCACCAAGAGC
rnacentral:rRNA from 1 species